rnacentral:lncRNA from 1 species
AGAGUGGCGGCCGCUACGGCCCUGUAACAGGGCCAUGGAGAAGCUGCGGCGAGUCCUGAGCGGCCAGGACGACGAGGAGCAGGGCCUGACUGCGCAGGGCGUGGAUCCCAUUCAUGAGGACUCCAUCCCCAUGACCUGAUCAUCUCCUGAAGGGCCAUCUUCCAGUACCAUCACCAUGGGGUCGAGGAUUUCAGCAAACACUCAGACCAUAGCACACAGGUUGAGACAAGUCAUUUGCUUGUUGACUGAGUUAUUUCAUAUUUACAAAUGGCAUUAAUUUAUCAUGUUUCACUUCAAAGAUCACCGCGUGGAAGAUGGUAAUAAGAGAAAAAUGCCUAAUAAACAAUUUAAGCUCUCUCUGCCUUUCCCACUUAGAAGAUUAUCAAUACACGGAAGAUGGCAAUAGGAGGAAAAAAUACCUACUAUUAUACAAAUAGCCGUGCUGUUUCCUUGCUGAGAGAAAAACUGGCUAUUGAAAAGCAGCGAUUGAACUUGUGAACAAUGGGGUGAUUUGAACUUGGAAAAGAAGGAAAAAUGGAUGCUUUUUCCUCUCACUAAAUCCUCACAGCAUUGUGGACUCACACGAACCUUUAGAAAUCAUUAUUCUUUCCAUUUUUAAUUGACAAAUAAAAGUUAUAUACAUUUAUUGUGUACAGCGUGAUGUUUUGACCUAUGUAUACUUUGUGGGAUGGUUAAAUGAAGCUGAUGGGCGUGUCUCCAUUUUUUUUAACAGAUCAUUUACUAUGUAAUUCAGUCUUUG